CAGGCCCCAGCACCGUAACUGCGCAGAUAACUUUCUGUUCGCCACAAGGAACAUAACAUGGUUACGGUGCGCCGUGCCCUCGAUUCCUUCGAUCUCCUACGAAAUUGAUGCCGUCGAAUCCUACGGCUCAAAGCUCUUUGUCGAUUGCCGCGAUGGAGCCCCUCGAAUAUGCGGUCCCGAACCUUCAUGGUCCGACCCAUCUUCACCCUCAGAUUACCGUCGCCUAUAUCAAGAGCUGAGAAAGGAAACUUAUGCUCUGGAGAGAACUAUUGCUGGGUUUUCAAAGAAGCCUCUCUUGUCGAUGGAGCUAUUGGCAUCCAUGAUCUCUAUCUGAAUCAAUCGCCUUCGAUAUAUUUCGCAAUUUGAAGACUUUAGCAGUCAUCAGCAAGGCUAAAGGCACCAAUGUCUACUCAUGGGAAGACAGAAGAGGCUUUUUGUGCUUCGCUAGGCAAAAGCGAGGCUUUUUGGGCAUAUGCAUAAAGAUGAAAUUAGCUUUUGAAUUGUGCUUGGUUCCUUGCAUUACAGCGCACUUUAGUUACAUGUCAGGAAGCACUGCAUCUACCGUGUCAAAUUAUGUUUGGAAUCAAACGAACAAGUUUGGAAUGUCUUCAUAAGAAGAACUACUAGAUGUACAGGAGAACAUUGGGGUCUUCAUGGACCCAAGUGGCAAGCUUCUUCAAAAGAAAGGAUUUGUUGGUCGGUAGCCCCUUCUGUCGUUGUCAUUCAGAAACCGUAUACAGUAGCUCUGCUUCCAAGACGUGUUGAGAUUUGGUCAACUCUUAUUUGAAGCAGCAUGCUCCAAGCAUGCAUGGCAGGUAUUUAGAACUUAUGCUUGCAAUCAAUGAAAAUGGAUUCUCUGGCGACGUGCAGAAUGAAAUGGUGAAGAUUUCUUACUUUUAGCGCUACAAUUUUCAUAAUUUUAUAACUCUAACUGACUUGGCAAAACCGAUGGUGCUGCUAGACUUGCAUGACCACUGUUGCUGCAGUUAAUUUUGAUAAAUGAUUAGAUGUAGUUAUAUAUCCUAUGUGUGGGAGGUACAAAUCUAUCUUUGGAAGUACUUAGUGGCACACUGACUUGAGUGCUCAGCAACGGGAUGAGAAGACUUAUUCCCCCAACGAGGAAAAAAAUUAUUGUCUGCUUUAGAGAGCAUCUCAGGGUAUAAACCAGAGGCUUUGUUGAAAUGGCUUUCAGCAGAUGCAUUAUAUGAAGAGCGUGCAAUUUUAUUGUGAAAAAUGAACCAAUAUUAGCUUGCCUUGUCUCCUUACGUUCAUAAGGUACUUUUUGGUGUAAAUUAAUCUGUUCAAGUGAGAUCAUUAAUGCGUGAUAUCACUCACAAGGGAACGUCAUUUAAGGUUUGCCUUUUAUAUGGAAAUUUGGCUUAUCCCUGGCUAGGCAUGAGGCCUGUCCAGGUUUGAUCAGCUCCUGGAUUUGACCAGAUCUAUAUUGAACCUGAUCGAAACCAGAUUUUUCACUUUGAAAGAAGAUUAAAAAAUGUUGACUGUUGGAUUUGACCAAACUUGGAUUGAACUAGACGAACAAACUCUAUAGGGACUGAAACUAAACCAUAACCAGGGCCAGAACCAAGAGAUACCCUUUGGUUAGGUCCCAGGUCCCAACCGUUCAAACUGGAACAGUGGGUCUGGUUCUGGUUCUAGUUUUUGGUUCCAGCAUGGAACUGGAAAUUGUCCUUGUGUAAUCCCUGGAAAAAGCAAAUGGCAAGGUGGAGAUAGAAAAGCCUUCAAUUCUUUAAUCAAAAUUAUUUUAACUGUUUGUUUUGAGUGUAUUUAUCAGUAGGUUUCUUCUGUGCUGUCAUUUUCUUGUUUUGAUAAUCUAUCUCUUUUGAUUCUUUUUUCUCUUUUUCUAAAAUUUCUGCUAGUUGAAAAAGGCUCUUUUGACCUUUACUGCUUCAUGUUCCUGAACUUGCAUUGACCUAUUGUGAUAAGUUUGUGAGUAUGCAUCUCAUCUAUCACUUGAAAACCUUCUGGCAAUGUUUACCUUACUUUUCUGCAAAUUUAUCUGAAUCCCUGGAAGACGAUCAAUAACUUUGAAAUGCGAAUUACAAAUAUAGUGUCUUCUCAGAGUACAAGUAUUCCAAAGGUUGGUUCUGGUAGAUCAGUUAAAGCAAUAGGAGGUGGAGCAGAGAAAAUUGCUGCAAUAGAGG